AAAGCUCGUAGUUGGAUUUCUGGUGGGGCUGUCGGCCUGGCUCCGAAAGGGGUCGUGGUUAGUACACGCCUGGCCAUCCUCGGGGGAAGCUUUGCUGGCAUUAAGUUGUCGGCGGAGUGACGCUCGUCGUUUACUGUGAACAAAUUAGAGUGUUCAAAGCAGGCUUAGGCCGUUGAAUACAUUAGCAUGGAAUAAUGAGAUAGGACUUUGGUGGUCUAUUUUGUUGGUUUGCACGCCGAAGUAAUGAUUAAUAGGGGCGGUUGGGGGUAUUCGUAUUCAAUUGUCAGAGGUGAAAUUCUUGGAUUUAUGGAAGACGAACUACUGCGAAAGCAUUUACCAAGGAUGUUUUCAUUAAUCAAGAACGAAAGUUAGGGGAUCGAAGAAGAUUAGAUACCUUCGUAGUCUUAACCAUAAACUAUGCCGACUAGGGAUUGGCGGAACGACGUUACGUCUCCGUCAGCACCUUGUGAGAAAUCAUAAGUCUUUGGGUUCCGGGGGGAGUAUGGU
rnacentral:rRNA from 1 species